UACGUAGGGUGCGAGCGUUGUCCGGAAUUACUGGGCGUAAAGAGCUCGUAGGUGGUUCGUCGCGUUGUUCGUGAAAACUCACAACUCAAUUGUGGGCGUGCGGGCGAUACGGGCAGACUGGAGUACUGCAGGGGAGACUGGAAUUCCUGGUGUAGCGGUGGAAUGCGCAGAUAUCAGGAGGAACACCGGUGGCGAAGGCGGGUCUCUGGGCAGUAACUGACGCUGAGGAGCGAAAUCGUGGGGAGCGAACAGG
rnacentral:rRNA from 1 species